AUCGAACGCUGGCGGCAUGCCUUACACAUGCAAGUCGAACGGUAACAGGUCUUCGGAUGCUGACGAGUGGCGAACGGGUGAGUAAUACAUCGGAACGUGCCUAGUAGUGGGGGAUAACUACUCGAAAGGGUGGCUAAUACCGCAUGAGAUCUACGGAUGAAAGCAGGGGAUCGCAAGACCUUGUGCUACUAGAGCGGCCGAUGGCAGAUUAGGUAGUUGGUGGGAUAAAAGCUUACCAAGCCGACGAUCUGUAGCUGGUCUGAGAGGACGAUCAGCCACACUGGGACUGAGACACGGCCCAGACUCCUACGGGAGGCAGCAGUGGGGAAUUUUGGACAAUGGGCGAAAGCCUGGUCCAGCAAUGCCGCGUGCAGGAUGAAGGCCUUCGGGCUGUAAACUGCUUUUGUACGGAACGAAAAGCCCCGGGUUAAUACCCUGGGGUCAUGACGGUACCGUAAGAAUAAGCACCGGCUAACUACGUGCCAGCAGCCGCGGUAA
rnacentral:rRNA from 1 species